AAGGGAGACCUAAUUCAGGUAUGGGACGAAAAAAAAGUAGUCGCUACCAAGAAUCAAUCCCAAAAGGUCGGAGCGAGGCGAAAUUGGCUUUCAAACUAGGUUCUGGGUUCACACAAGACCUGGAUCAGGAACAAGGGCUAUUAGCUCAGGUGGUUAGAGCGCACCCCUGAUAAGGGUGAGGUCCCUGGUUCGAGUCCAGGAUGGCCCACCUGCACAGGUGGCAAAAACAAGAGAAGCUCCGAAUCAGCACCUUAUCUUACUUAUAUAGUAAGAGAGAAUGCUGGCUCUGAGUUCAGAGUCCAGAGGAACCUUGAAAACUGCAUAGAGCUAGGUGAAAAAGCCAAAAAAGAAGACCGCAA
rnacentral:tRNA from 1 species